AUUGAACGCUAGCGGGAUGCCUUACACAUGCAAGUCGAACGAGUGGCGGACGUGUGAGUUAUAUAUCUGAACGUGCCCAUUAGCGGGGGAUACCUACUCGAAAGAGUGGUUAAUACCCCAUAAUAUUGUAACGGUCGAUAUUGGAUUAACUAGUUGGUGGGGUAAACGCUCACCAAGGCAACGACCUGUAGCUGGUUUGAGAGGACGACAAGCCACACGGGGAAGGGGACGCGGCCCAGACUCCUACGGGAGGCAGCAGUGGGGAAUUUUGGAGAAUGGGGGAAACCCUGAUCCAGCCAUCCCGCGUGUAUGAGAAGGCCUUCGGGUUGUAAAGUACUUUUGGCAGAGAAGCGGUAUCUGCAGAAUAAGCACCGGCUAACUACGUGCCAGCAGCCGCGGUAAUUC
rnacentral:rRNA from 1 species